GAUGAACGCUAGCGGCAGGCCUAAUACAUGCAAGACGAACGGUAAGUUGAGUAGCAAUACUUAGCCAAGAGUGUCGUACGGGUGCGUAACACGUAUGCAACCUACCCUAUACAGGAGGAUAGCCUAGGGAAACCUGGAUUAACCCUUCAUAGUAUUAUUGGAUGGCAUCAUUUGAUAAUUAAAACUGAGGUGGUAUAGGAUGGGCAUGCGUCUGAUUAGUUAGUUGGCGGGGUAAUGGCCCACCAAGACGAUGAUCAGUAGGGGUUCUGAGAGGAAGAUCCCCCACACUGGCACUGAGAUACGGGCCAGACUCCUACGGGAGGCAGCAGUAGGGAAUAUUGGUCAAUGGAUGCAAGUCUGAACCAGCCAUGCCGCGUGCAGGAAGAAGGCCUUCUGGGUUGUAAACUGCUUUUGCCAGGGGGAUAAAAAUUUCCAUGCGUGGAAAACUGAAGGUACCUGGUGAAUAAGCCACGGCUAACUACGUGCCAGCAGCCGCGGUAAU
rnacentral:rRNA from 1 species